UAGAGGAAAGUCCGGGCAACGCAGAGCACCAUACCGGUUAACCGCCGGCAGGCAGCAAUGUUUGUCAGACGGAACAGAAAACAAACCGCCGCAAGGCAAGGGUGAAAAGGCGGGGUAAGAGCCCACCGGCUGAGUGGUAACACUCGGUGCAUGCCGUCGAUAUGGGUUGCAAGUUCAAGUAAACCAACAAAGUGUGCGUCUUCAUAAGCACAUGAGAGGGUUGCUCGCCCGAGUUGGAGGGUAGAAUGCUAAAGAACAAUGGUAACAUUGCUCUCAGAUUAAUGAUAGACACUCUUUGCAAAAAGAGCACAGAACCCGGCUUACAGACCUGCUGC
rnacentral:RNase_P_RNA from 1 species